rnacentral:lncRNA from 1 species
CCCAUCAUUCUUUCUUACAGCCCAGCUUUCAUUUUGCAAACUUUUUUCUUCUUCUUUUCCAAGCGAGGCUGAUGUUACAUUUCCUGAUUGGUGACAAAACAGGUUCUUUAGUGGCAAAACAACAGUACUUGGGUACCAUAUGUUGCAUUUAAAUGCUGUAAGACAGCUGUGAAGCCUGAGUGUUACUGGAUGUGGGCCAGCUCCCAGAAGAAGCCUUUCACUAGUUGGUAAAUGUUUCCAGGGACAGCAGGAAGAAGCCACUUUUCAUGGAGCAACUUCCAGAUGCAGGACGCAGAAGAUUAGAGUGCAUCUGUGUGCAUGAGCAUAUGUGAGCAUCUAUUUUUCCAUGUGCACACUAUUACCGCAUUGCAACAUGGCCAGGCACAAUCUAUGCCAAUAUCUCUAAUGAAGCUAGUACAAAGGUCAGCGUUCCUACAAUUUAGACUAUAAAUGACUUUUUCCAGCUAGAAGGCCUAAUAUUUGUGUCUAUGUGGCUGCACUUGUGUUGAAACUUUUUAUUAAGAAACAAUCCCACCUUAGCCGUAACUAAGAAAUAACUGGCAAUUCUAUUCAGCCACACAAGAGGUGAACGGUAGAUAUGCUGCUGCAGUGUAUCUGACUUUAUUAUUUACCCCCACAGAAGCUGUCUGUCAAUCACAUCAUGCUCCUACCCAUACUCGCCCAAGGGUAGAGUGCUAGAGCACCUUCACAACAAUGUUAUAUUGUUCACUACAUAUACCAUAUCUACCACAGAGAGGCCGAGGAUUCAAAGGGGAGACCAUAAGGUAUUCAGGCAUCAGCCUUGAGGUAAGACCGGCCAGAUGUGGCGACCCAGAGCUCUUUACAGCUGGAUGUGCAGCGGGGCACUAAAAAAUGGGGAACUCACCGGGAUGUGCAUCAUCUGUUUUAGCUCGUCAGUCUUCCCUGACUGACCCGCUGAGUGCUGUUUUCAUUCCUCGUGGAUAAUUUCUUUUACAGUUUUGCAAGACUGUCAUCAAACCUGAAGCACCGAUCCCCACCUGCCUGAACUGUUGUCCAUCACCCCUAAUGACAACCAGACAUCCCCACAGACAGGCCACAAAGGUGUUAACUUCCCCACAUUUUCCUCUAAGACAGGCAAAUGCUUCUUUCUGGACUACUGAAGCUCAUUUUAUAUGACUGUGAUGUGGGAAUUGCCCACUUUCUGUUAAGUGUACAAUUUGGGAUGCUUUCACAAACUACCCUAGGCUCCAAAAAGAACCACAGAAAAACCCGAUCUAUCUUUGGCAUGUAAUAAUCUACUGAAGGAUGAUGUCACUCAGGCUGGAUGACAUGAGAAAAACUCCUGAGGACC